AUCCAGCUCAUCCUCAAUCCCAACAAAAGCGUGGGUACACGUCAGCAUCUCCAAACCCAACUGCGAACACGGAAGCCGGUGACGAGGGCGACUGAUGGGACGGCGGACAGUGCGUACCCGGACGUGGUGAGUUGGAGGUCGGGGCAGGCGGUUGGGGCGGAGGAGACGAUGGCGAGGGCGAGUAGGAUGUUUUGGGAGAGUACUGAGAUCUCUCCGUCGGGAGAGGGUUUGAAAUGUUAUUUUGCAAGGUUUUGGACCAAUAAAUCGUGCUUCUUACUCGAGUGUAUGAUUUUGAAUAUUGGGUGCACUUGGUCUAGUCCAUCGCUAAGUAUAUUAGCUACUCAUUCGUUGAGAAAUGGAUUACCAAUAGAUUAGAGUUUCGUUUGAGUCAAAAUCAUUGAAUAUCGCGCCAUAGGUUGAAUGCGUAGUGAUGUAGACAAUGUUGGGCUUUAAGGGGG
rnacentral:lncRNA from 1 species